CCUCCUCAUCCAGGCCCGGGUCCCCCAGGACUGAGCUCCUCUGCCGCGGUUUGCUUUCCCCUCCUCCCUUCUCUCUUCCCUUUGGUGGCCUUCUUCAGGUUCCUCAGGAGGACCGCCUUCUGUCCACUGAGUUCAAAGACCCGGCCAUGGAUGAGAACAUUCAAAACCUGUAGUACAUUAUUUUGAAUGUUUCAGUGGGAGGAAAGGGGCUAACUUUAUCCUUGAAGGUUACUUUUUCCUAAACCAAAACUAGCAAUGAUGAUGAAAAAGGUUUGAAUUGUUUUUCUACCAUGUGUGACUUGAAUUAGUCCAUUAAGCAACUGCCAUCAAUAGGAGGAGAGAAGACUUUCCUUUGGAAAAUUGCUCAGUGACCUCAAGCUUCUUCCUAAGCCACUGUGUUAGGCAUGGAAUACAAAGACAAACUAUAAUAGAAUAGCCCUUAGCCUCCGUUUAUAUUCCAUCAGAGAAAACAACACAAAUGUAAUAGACCAAAUGCUGGAUUUGGAGUCUGCAGAGUUCUGGAUUGGAAUAGAGUUUCUGAUAUGAACUAUGUAUGAAAGCUAGAGCUAACACUGAAGGAAGCAUAUCUUUGUGUAGUAAGAGGAAAAGAGAGCUCCUGCCUCUUGGUUGCUCUGGAAGGGGGAGAAUUGGAAGAGUUCUGUUCCUAGCAAAAACAGCAGCUGAUCUGGAGAAGUAUGAGGAUGCCAAGGAAGGAUACUGAAGGAAACAGGAGGAGGUGGACUUGGUAGAGAAGAUUGGAGUCUCUGACCUUGGGAAUUCAAAAGAUCAACAGAUGUGCUCCAGUAUUUCAGCAUUGCAGAGUCUGGAUUGCACUCACUUCCAAAUAUGACAUUAUUGAUGGGUGCGUGAGUUUGCAUUUCUGCUGCUGCUGGAAUGGGUUAGACACAUAAUCAUGCCUUUCUGGAAGCAGGCUCUCAGACUUCUUCCACAUCAAACCUCCAUUUACAUACAGAACUGUGAUUUGAAUCCAGGUCAUCUGUCCCCAAUCCAGUCCUCUUUUGAUUGCAUCAUGUGACCUUUCAAACUUAAGCUUACAUGGAGGAAGUCUAAGAGAGUCCUCCAGGUAAACACUCAGAAGUUAUUCAGUCUUCUUUUCAGUUGAAUGGAAUUAAAUUCAACAAACAUCAAUGAGUUGCCUACUGUGGACAUGGUGCUGAGGAAACAAAGAUAAAUGAUGGCAUAUCUUUUGCCCUGGAAGAGCUUACGUUCUACUGAGGAUGCAACAUGGAUUCAGAAAAGUGUAGUGCAAAAGUGACCCAAGUCACCAGAUUUCAAUGCUACAGAUGAAGGAAGGGGAAAGAUCUGAUAGUGAACCUAUGUCCAAGGAGAAAACAUCACUCCAUCCAACGUCCUCAGUAGUCAGGCUUAAAAAAAAAAUUAAGUGAUUAUAAUUACUGUGAGGACAUAAGUGAUAGUUACUAGGAAAUCAGAGAAUAAAAGCCAAGAAGUUCUGUGCUAUCCCUGGAUAUAUUGUUUUCUCCUGGGAUCUGGGAGUUUUUCAGGGACUUCAAAAAAAGGGGGAGAAAUGGGGAAAUAAAAGACACAGCAAUAAUGCCCUAUGUUUAGUGUGAAUAAUGAAUCCACGCAAUGGUCACAUUUAUUUGAAUCUGCAGUAUUCUAAAUUAUAAUUGUAUAAAAUAGGUAAUUUGUUUCAGACUAAUAGAAAUAUGCAGUUCAAAUAUGAAUAAUGUGAGCAUGUCACACGAUUCAUUAUUUGCAUUAAUUACAGUCAUUCUGAGUUUUGAAACAUGCACAUUGAUUUGGGAAGUAUCCUUUUGGCUGCAAAACUCUUCUUUACACUAUGUGUUACUUACCUGAUGUGACAGGAAUUAUUUUAAACCAUACAAGGGUCUUCUGCCUACAGGAGAUUUAAAAAAAAUUUAUGGCACAUUAAGGCCAGCUCUUGGCAUAUCCACAGUCUCUACUGUAUACCAUCAAGGGAUAGGAAUAAUUUCCUGAACUGUCGUCUUGGCAUUUUUAUACUUAUGAUAAAAGAAAAUUGUAUUUAUAAUAAAUAGAAAAUAUUUAUUGUACAGCAUUAUCAAGAUCAUUUGACAAAAGGCAAUAUCAAUCAAGCCAAAAGAAAAUACUUUUACAAGAAGCUUAACAACUUGUACAAACACAUACACUAAAGUGAGUAAUUCCUGCCCUUUGGGUCUGCUGUAUGUAUGUGUACAUCUCCAAUUUUAAGCAAUUAUGUUCUAAGAACUAAUAAUAUAGUAUAUCUCAAGAAAACUCAUACUUGUAAUAUUAAUAUUAUUAAGUAUUCAUAAUAGAGUUAGUGCUUAAAGUGUUCAAAUUUCCUAAAUCAGAGACUCAGGACAAAUUGUCUUCUUACAUUAUUGGAAUAACAGGAAGCUAUUUUCCUCAUCUAAUCCAGCUUUGUAAAGAAAACUGGAAAGUACAAGUCCUGUAAUACUAAGGACAUAUGCCAGUGGCAUUAAGACAAAAAUAUAUUUGACUAAUAAUAGAUACUCUGCUAAUUUGCUUGCCAAUUUGUGGAAAUCAACCUACAAGACAUUAUGAUGUUUGCCUUUUUCUUUUGUCUGCUUCAACUAGCUGAAAAUCUGAGAUUUGAAGCUUACAUUUCAGUUGCAAGGUGCUGAAUUUUCACCAAAAUUGCUUAAAAAUAAUUUUAGUUAAGGAAAGUUUAUUCAAAUUUUACAUAACAAACUGGAUGAAAUUGGCAGUGAUUAAUGUCAAAACAGAUAAAGAAAGUCAGCAUAAGCACUAAGUGGUGAAUUAGACAGUGGAUGCUAACCAAAUAUCUUAACACUGUGGAUACUUUUUAUUAUAGGGGCCUGGAUUGGAAUUUGGCUGGAAGAGAGUUUGUUAAAAAUGAAACUGGGGAUAAGUAAUAAACCAAGGGUGAGAAACGUUCCAAAAACAAAGGAAGAAGUCUGACUGAUUAUGGAUAUGUGUUUGGUCCUACCAGAGUGAAAUGAACUUUCUAAAACAUUUUAUUUCAGAAAAUCUGUAUUGCCUGGAGAAAUGACUGGAAAGCAGGAUGAUUAGCUUAUAUGUCAAUGGACAUUAGCCAGUCAUAACUCGUCUCCCUAAAUAGCAAACAUAAAGGUGAAGAAGAAUGCUUAAAAGAAAGACCAGAAAGAAGGCUCCAAGCAAAAUAAAAAUACCGAUAAUGACUGGGCAA